ensembl:lncRNA
CCAACGCCUCCUUUAUGAAUAUGUUAUUAUGAAAAGCUUCUCUCACAUCGACCUAUCUUUAAAAGCAAGUCCUUCUCUUUGUGGAUAAGUUGUUAGAUUUUAGUUAAACCAAAGGAGUAAAAUACUAAACACACUUCACUCUUUGAUAAUGAUUUUUAUGAGCUUGUUACUUUUAGAGGAUAAUCUGAAGUGUAUGGGCCUGUCUUUUAUAUUUUGGGAGGUGGCAAUAAAAACGACAGAAGUGAGGAUGCUGAAUGCACCCAGCAACGUGAUAUUCUAAUAUUUCAGAACAAGUAAUAAGCAAAUGUUACUUUUUUCUUUUUCUUUUUUUUUUUACACCGAGAAGCCCAGCAUAGGUGGGGUAACGGACUCCUGUGGCUUUGAAUAUCUUUACGUGAGCCAGCCUGACCACUGGUGUUGAGCCACGAGGAGUUGAAGAGCAAGGUUCAAUGACGAGGGGAGUAGCCUAUGGCUGCAUCCUGCUCUGGCUGCUAGAACAAAGUUUGCCCGCCUGGAAAAAACGUCCCACCAACUUGAUCGAGAAAGUGGCACGUAAACAACUUAUCAGCAGCACCGUUGGAUUUUGUUAACUGGGGGUAAGUUGUUCGUGAUUUGGCUUUGGUUGUAAUUACGCACUGAUGGCAGUUUUGCGCAAAAAAAUCAACAAAUUCGGUAGAGAUGCUCCAAUUGAAAUGUCUCGUCUGCUUGUUUUCAUGUGAUCUGCACUGAAAGACAUUUUCUCCAAAAAGCACUGCACUUGCAUUCGCGCGCUCGUCCCUGGCAUCUCCGUGCGCGUGCACGGACACCGAGGAAGACAGCCCGAGCAACUGCAGCCUAAAUGUCAGCGCUGCGUCACUGUAUUUCUUACAAACUGGGCUGGAGACUUUUUGGUUAUUAGUUUUUCGCGCAGACCAUGUCAUUCUGUUGCUACGAGGCAGCCACAUCCAUCUUAAAGUAUCACCUCCUUCGUAUUACCUCUGAAUCCCCUCUAUUGUUUGCCCACCGCAGAGCUCUUUGUUCAUGCAUGCUGCAUAUGAGUAUUCAAAGGAUAUCGCAUAUUUACAUCAUUCAGAUAAAGAUACGUGUACAUGGGGAGAUCACGGUGCCGUAUAUAACAUGUCAGCGUGAUCAACAUGACAUUAGCCUACAAUUUGAAUAUGAAGACAGAAAUUUAAGGUAAUAAAUAUCAUCGCUACGACAGGAUACACAAGAGCGUUGCAUGUAUCUACGCGCAAAAUCAUGUUAGAAUAGGUCGAAAUCAACAGCAAGCUGCAAGUCUGCAAUGCAAAUCUACUCACUGAAUAUGCAUCAAUAUUAAAAAUAAUACGCACACCAGAGCCAACGGCGUCGGAGAAUUGAGAAUGGCGGAGCGGGUCGUCUCAUUACGCAUGGACGGUUUUUCCACGCAGGAGCCACGGUUUCCCCUUUUCUCUUCAUGUCUCUCCCUUCCGUCCCGCUCACAUUAAGGAAGCGUCUUGUGAUGGAGAGAAAGAGCUGUGAAGAAGAAGUGCAGGCAGCAGGAAGUAGAGGUCAACACCAGAUCUCUGGGAUUUUGCUCUCCACUGGACCCACAUGAGGUUGGAUGGACACGUCAUUGAUUGUGACCCAUAAACAAGUGGCAUAAUGACUGGAGUCUCCACACUAAAGACGUCAAGGAUAUUCAGCUGAUCUCAGAGGUGGAUGAUUCUCCUGAUCAAGUGGAAAGGAGCCUGAAUUUCAGCAAGAAAGAACCAUCAAGAUAUAUCUCACAUGCUUUAGUGACAAUCUCACUAUGACCUGCACUGUACUUUAUAUUUCUGUAUUUCUGUCAACUAGUUCUAAGAUUGUUGACCAAACUGACAAUCCUCUCAACAAUGGACUGAAAAUAGUCAAUCCAACAAAUUCUUUGACUUUGCUCCAAUAGGCAUCAAUGUAUUUAUUUUUAAAUUUUUAUACGGGAGAACACUUCCCAAAAUAAGAUAAAAAUAUUCCACACAUUAAAACUUGCACCUAUUUCAUGUAAUUGAUUGAGUCUAACAAGGAUAUUUUUUGACAGCUAAAUAAAGACUUUUUUCUCCCUUUAA